AGCGAACGCUGGCGGCAGGCCUAACACAUGCAAGUCGAACGAAGUCUUCGGACUUAGUGGCGGACGGGUGAGUAACACGUGGGAACGUGCCUUUAGGUUCGGAAUAACUCAGGGAAACUUGUGCUAAUACCGAAUGUGCCCUUCGGGGGAAAGAUUUAUCGCCAUUGGAGCGGCCCGCGUCUGAUUAGCUAGUUGGUGAGGUAAAGGCUCACCAAGGCGACGAUCAGUAGCUGGUCUGAGAGGAUGAUCAGCCACAUUGGGACUGAGACACGGCCCAAACUCCUACGGGAGGCAGCAGUGGGGAAUCUUGCGCAAUGGGCGAAAGCCUGACGCAGCCAUGCCGCGUGAAUGAUGAAGGUCUUAGGAUUGUAAAAUUCUUUCACCGGGGACGAUAAUGACGGUACCCGGAGAAGAAGCCCCGGCUAACUUCGUGCCAGCCGCCGCCGUAAUAC
rnacentral:rRNA from 1 species